CCUACGGGUGGCAGCAGUGAGGAAUAUUGGUCAAUGGGCGCGAGCCUGAACCAGCCAAGUAGCGUGAAGGAUGACUGCCCUACGGGUUGUAAACUUCUUUUAUCAAGGAAUAAAGUGAGGCACGUGUGCCUUUUUGUAUGUACUUUAUGAAUAAGGAUCGGCUAACUCCGUGCCAGCAGCCGCGGUAAUACAGAGGAUCCGAGCGUUAUCCGGAUUUAUUGGGUUUAAAGGGAGCGUAGAUGGGUUGUUAAGUCAGUUGUGAAAGUUUGCGGCUCAACCGUAAAAUUGCAAUUGAUACUGGCAGCCUUGAGUACAGUUGAGGUAGGCGGAAUGCGUGGUGUAGCGGUGAAAUGCUUAGAUAUCACGAAGAACUCCUAUUGCGAAGGCAGCUUACUAACGUGCCACUGACAUUGAUGCUCGAAAGUGUGGGUAUCAAACAGGAUUAGAUACCCGUGUAGUC
rnacentral:rRNA from 1 species